GAUCUUGUGGUUCAAUGGUAGAGCACUGCCUCCCAGAUCAGGAGGUCACCAGUUCAAGACCGGUCAGGAUCU
rfam:Astyanax mexicanus chromosome 6, whole genome shotgun sequence.